UCCUUUUUAUAGCAUUUCCAAUAAGAAGCAAGAACGUAACAAACUCAAACACGUGCAAAGAUGGCCUUAUCGGUUUACUUUAUCUUUUUCCUACUUGCUACAACUGUUAUCUGCUACCCUUCUUUUCUCGAAUGGAAGAAACGGAGUAACUUCAAAUCUCCUCCGAGCUGUAAACGUGAUUCAGAUUGCAAAAAGGACGAAUGGUGUGAUUUUCGUUGUUCUGGUGUUAUUCUGCUUAACUGUAGUGGAACAUGUGUAAAACGCUAAUGAUAUUUUAUGUAUUUGACGAAAGUAAUAA